UACAGAGGGGGCAAGCGUUGUUCGGAAUUACUGGGCGUAAAGGGCGCGUAGGCGGCCCCGCUAAGUCGAACGUGAAAUCCCCGAGCUCAACUCGGGAACUGCGUCCGAUACUGGUGGGCUUGAAUCCGGGAGAGGGAUGCGGAAUUCCAGGUGUAGCGGUGAAAUGCGUAGAUAUCUGGAGGAACACCGGUGGCGAAGGCGGCAUCCUGGACCGGCAUUGACGCUGAGGCGGCGAAAAGCUAGGGGAGCAAACGGGG
rnacentral:rRNA from 1 species